AAGGUUCCCAUUGUUUUCAUUCUGGUGGGAUAUCUUAUAUGCCAUUAGAGUGAAAACUUAGUCUUUUGCUAGCAGUUGCCGCUAGGGCAUCUAUGCCAUUUCUUUCGUUGCAAUUCGGGACUGCACGCUGGGGUUUGUUUUGGUUUGAUCAGGGAGAGCAGCAUAUGUGCCUCCUGAUGAGAGACUAAUAAGUUUCGAAACCGGUAGAGGUGCUUGCAGCACUCUCUGGUUGGACUGGAAUAUGGUUCGGCUGUAUUUUCGUUUUGCAACGAAAUUGAAAAUGGUUAUUCAUUUUUGAUUUACAUUUACUCUGUGUGGAGUAUGAAGGGAACCAGUCUCGUUGGAACUUUACCGCGCUGAGCAGAUGUGACGUGAAUUGUAAAUUGUAGAAUUCCCUCAUCUUCCUUAGUCUCAGCAUCCGUAUGGCUUGCAAAUUGUAGAAGCCUCGGAGGUGUAACCAGAGAAGGUUCCCAUUGUUUUCAUUCUGGUGGGAUAUGUUAUAUGCCAUUAGAGUGAAAACUUAGUCUUAUGCAUUCACUUACUUACUGUGUCAGGGUUUAGCGUGGGUUCAGGACUGAUCACCCUGGACUUGGGCACUUCACUUGGCUCAAAAAUAUAUUAAUAUCUAUAAGUUGUUCCUAGAGUAUCUCUUAGGUUGAAAUUAGAAUGUGUCAUGUAGAAUUGGAUCGUUCUGAUAUUCAGCAGUAAGUCAGUCUGUUUAACUUGGUUGUCAUCUCCUAUGCUGUUAUCUUUUAAAUGAUUUGAGUUUUAACAUAUCUUAUUACCAUAAGUUUGGUUACCUGUCUCUACCACUUGCUUGGAUUAGUGGCUGUGAGUAUGUGAGUUACCUUAUUUGUCUCCCUACUGAGCAUUAUGUUAGUAGAUGUUCUUCUGCCUUAAAUAUGAAAAGGUAGAUGUGAGUUUAUCUUUACCUUUACCUGAAGUGAGUUUAUAUUUACCUUUAGUUUGAGUUUAUCUCGUACCUUUACCUUGAUGAGUUUAUCUCUUAUCUAUAUCUUGAUUGAAUGUAUAUCUUAUCUUUAUCUUGAUUAUUAUAAAGUCCUAAGAAUCUGUCCUUCUCUGUGCUUGUCGUGAGUAAAGAAUUGGACCACGUCAAUAGUACAGUUUAGGUAUUACAGUUAGGAUUUUUAUUACCUUUUACCUUUUGUGCAUACCCUCUACCACGAGUAGAUGCGGGCUUGCCAGUAUCUUUACCUUUUAGCAUACCCUAUACUAUGCGUAUAGUGCGCUUGCUAGUAUCUUUACCUAGAUUGUGUCUUCCUAUCGCUACGAAAGCAAGUAGACGUUAUGAAUUAUCUUUUACCUUGAGUUUUAGAUGUUGAUAUCCGGAACCAUAUCAUAUAUGUUUAGGUUUGUAGUAAUGUAGUUUUAACUGGUCCUAAUGAAUUAGUCCCUCAUUGAAUUCUGGGGUGAUUAAUAGAAUUUGUUCGCUCUCGUGUCAAUGUUGGGUAAAGUUAAUAGGAUGCGUUUAGGUUAAUUGUUGUUUAUGGUUCUUAGUUAUAUUGUGUUGGGGGUUGUUAAUACACACCUGUAAUUUAGUUUUAAUCAUGGGUUUACUAACACUUGAGAAUGUAGAUAGUAAGUAGUGUUAAGAGUUGACUUACUCUAUAAGGUUGUAUAAUUAUAUUUAGAAUGUUAGUGAUUAACGCGUAAUUAUUUGUUUUUCUCUAUCUUUGGUUUUACUAAAUUAAAGUAAAUUAUCUUGUUGAAUAACUUAUGUCAGUCAGUUACGUAUGUCGGUUAGUUACACAUCCCUUCUAUGUUCUAUACUUUCUGCAAGUACCAUUAAAGAUAUCUCGCGUGGCCUCUAUACUGUCUGUAUGACUUCGUCCUGAUUUUUGUUCUGUCUCCUCAGCAAAUAGUAUGGCUGUUGAGCCUACCAAAAUUAUGGUUUUCUACCACAACGUUUCUCCUUUACCGUGUCCAUCCUCAGGUUCGCCUAGCGUCAGUUAGUUCUGGAAAAUAAAAAAAAAAGGAAACUUGUAGAGUUUUCCUUUUUUUGCUGGAGAAGAGGGAGAAUGUAGCGAUCACGCUACUAAUUAAAUUAAUUUAAUUAAAAUUGGAUUAAAAUAUACCCCUCUACAAAAUCCUUGGGUGACGCCCGCGAAGAUCCAACUACGAUUUUUCGGUGCACAGGCGCGCCAAUAGAAAGAAAAUCGAUGAUUGUCGAUUUCUAGUUUAGUUGGUCACGAACUCACAAAGAGGCAACACAUCGUCAUUACUUAGGUGACGGAGUUUGGGCAAAAUUGGGAAAAUAUAUAACUAAAAGACCUCGAACAUCAGCCAAUAACCCAUACUAAUAAAAAUCAAGCAGUAGUUAUAUCUGGAGACUUAUUUACAAGAAAGGAAAAAGGUUAUAAUACCGCCGAUGUGUUGCUUUGCUCAAAUUCCGUCCCGUAGCUACUUGUCACAUAGACACUUAGCCUAGUCAAUUUAUAUAGAUUGUAUCAUCAUUUAAUGUGCCAUUAUAUAAAUAUGUGCCAGUUACUGUAAGCAGCUAGGGUAUGGGUUACCCCUAGAGUUACUUUUGAUUGGAUUGGAUAGUACCUAUUUCACAACAUCCAGGAUUGGAUUUAUCACCACAGCAGCCCACUAGUUUUUGCCGUGCCAAGAGGAAAUUCAUUCCUAUCUGGACCUUUUUAAAUAGGACUUGUGGUUAAGAUAAGUUGUUUAAUCUUAUUAUUUACAUAUUUUGGGUACUCUAUAGUUGCUUGCACUGUAAACUUCUUGUAUGCAUACAAUUGAGGUAAACUAGGUACAUAUUUCUUGAUACAUAAGGUUUUAGGUCGUUGGUUUUUUUUGAUUUAAUAUAAGUAGUAGUUUCCAAUAAAUAAAAUUAGGUCUUGUUCAAUAAUCAUUAUAAAUAAUAAUUGUAGCUUAAAAAUUUGGUAGGGAAGGGGUCGUUAAAGGUUUGUCGCGGAUUUCAAAUAGGGAAUAUGUCUUGUAGGUUUUUACAUUGUAUAUAAAGAGUAACUGACUAACUCAUUUAUACAACUCAUUUAUAUCACUCAUUUAUAUAACUCAUUUAUAUAACUCAUUAUAUAUUUACUUAUUAGUGUUUUUGCUAAGUGAGAUCUUUAUUAUUUUUGGUAACCGUAGCGUUCUUGUUGUGGAUCUCACUCUAGCGUAGUUCAAUUUAGGAAAUAAUUACUAACUUUUUAGUUGUAAGGACUUAGUGCUAUUCUGACGGACUUUUGCUUUGGAUUUUGAUUUUAAUACCUUUGCUUGGCCAGUGAUAGUGGAUAAUUGCUUGUUAAGUGGCCUUUGCGGUCCUAUUUGAUCUUUUCCCCAUCCACUAUCACUGUUAUCACGUUGCGUUAUAUGUAAAUUGUUAGUAUUUAACAUUUGUGAUUAAUAUAUUUGUAUGUA
rnacentral:lncRNA from 1 species